GAUGAACGCUGGCGGCGUGCCUAAUACAUGCAAGUCGAGCGAACGGACGAGAAGCUUGCUUCUCUGAUGUUAGCGGCGGACGGGUGAGUAACACGUGGAUAACCUACCUAUAAGACUGGGAUAACUUCGGGAAACCGGAGCUAAUACCGGAUAAUAUUUUGAACCGCAUGGUUCAAAAGUGGAAGACGGUCUUGCUGUCACUUAUAGAUGGAUCCGCGCUGCAUUAGCUAGUUGGUAAGGUAACGGCUUACCAAGGCAACGAUGCAUAGCCGACCUGAGAGGGUGAUCGGCCACACGGGAACUGAGACACGGUCCAGACUCCUACGGGAGGCAGCAGUAGGGAAUCUUCCGCAAUGGGCGAAAGCCUGACGGAGCAACGCCGCGUGAGUGAUGAAGGUCUUCGGAUCGUAAAACUCUGUUAUUAGGGAAGAACAUAUGUGUAAGUAACUGUGCACAUCUUGACGGUACCUAAUCAGAAAGCCACGGCUAACUACGUG
rnacentral:rRNA from 1 species